UGGGACGAAACAAAUGACGGUACCUGCAGAGGAAGCAUCGGCUAACUACGUGCCAGCAGCCGCGGUAAGACGUAGGAUGCGAGCGUUGUCCGGAUUUAUUGGGCGUAAAGAGUUCGUAGGUGGUUUGUUAAGUUUGAUGUUAAAGAUCGGGGCUCAACCUCGGGACAGCAUUGAAUACUGGCAGACUUGAGUAUGGUAGAGGCUAAUGGAAUUCCCGGUGUAGCGGUGAAAUGCGUAGAUAUCUGGGAAGAACACCGGUGGCGUAGGCGAUUAGCUGGGCC
rnacentral:rRNA from 1 species